rnacentral:rRNA from 1 species
CCUACGGGUGGCAGCAGUGAGGAAUAUUGGUCAAUGGGCGAGAGCCUGAACCAGCCAAGUCGCGUGAGGGAGUACUGCCCUAUGGGUUGUAAACCUCUCUUGUCGGGGAGCAAAAGCCGGACGUGUCCGGCUGUGCGAGUACCCGAAGAAAAAGCAUCGGCUAACUCCGUGCCAGCAGCCGCGGUAAUACGGAGGAUGCGAGCGUUAUCCGGAUGUAUUGGGUUAAAAGGGUGCGCAGGCGGAUUUUUAAGUCAGCGGUCAAAUCGUGGGGCUCAACCCCAUCCAGCCGUUGAAACUGGGGAUCUAGAGUGUGCGAGAGGUAUGCGGAAUGCGUGGUGUAGCGGUGAAAUGCAUAGAUAUCACGCAGAACCCCGAUUGCGAAGGCAGCCUUCCGGCGCCCUACUGACGCUGAGGCACGAAAGUGCGGGGAUCGAACAGGAUUAGAUACCCCGGUAGUC